GAAUAACCAAAUCAAAUUGGCUCGACUCUAAGGUCUUCCCUUCUUGAAACCCCAGCAACUUGAACAAUUCAGAGGCAAAGGCAGAUGAAUCGACCUGGUUAUUAAUGUUACUAAUUACCUCAUUGGCUCGACUCUAAGGUCUUCCCUUCUUGAAACCCCAGCAACUUGAACAAUUCAGAGGCAAAGGCAGAUGAAUCGACCUGGUUAUUAAUGUUACUAAUUACCUCAUUGAGCUCUAAGACGGUGAAUCCAAGCUUAUUGCAGAAACUCUUCAGUCUUAAAUUUUCAGUGAUGACAGCAGCUUUCAUCCCCAUAAACCUCUCUGAUAUGGUUGCUGCUACAUGCUUCUCCUGAGAUUGAGUUUCAGAAGAUUCUUCCCCAUUCAGGGCAAGAUAAGCUUCAC
rnacentral:misc_RNA from 1 species